GAGGAAACCAAGCAUUUCAGUGAUGUCAUGUGUACCCAUGAUGCAUGCAAUUUGGAGUUUCAAGGAAGGUCACCUCCCUUAUGCAUCACCUAUAUAGAAAUUCAUCAGAUGUAUAGUCUCCUAUGUCUUUUGGAAACAUGACUCCCAGCAUCCACUAUCAUUUGGUCCAGUUUUUUUGUCUGGAGAUAAAAAAGAUUAUGAAAGACCAGGGACAAUUCAUAUAUAAUGCAGUUAUUUAUGCUGAUACCUAUCCACAAUGCAAUGCCUGUUGGCACCUUUUGUCAUGUCAGCAGAACCAUUGAUAGACAGUUUAAGAGAAAGGGAGAAAAAAACUAAUAAAAAAAAUAAAACCAGGGAAUGACAUUCAUAAAAUUUACUUUUUAUGUGGAAGCUACUUUAUAAAACAUUUCAAUCUCUUCAAAAUCUAUCCAAGAACUAUUCAAAAUAAUAAAGGAAUAUGGCUCAAUUUCUGACAGUAAGAUAAAUGAUAUGAAGCAAGAGUUAUGAAGCCAACUGGAAGGAAUGCAAAUAGUAUUAGUACUCUGGAUAUAUUUGAACAGAAACAAAAGGGAUCGAGGUAGAUAGUUACUACUCAAGAGAAGGAUUUUAAUGCUAUUGCAGACAUUUAUCAAGUAAUAAAAUGUUUACCUGAAGCAAUUUUCCUUUUUCUUAGCAGACAAAAUAGAGAUCAUUGAAAUAAAACUUCAUGAAAAACA